AUACGUAGGGUGCGAGCGUUAAUCGGAAUUACUGGGCGUAAAGCGCGCGUAGGCGGCUAAUUAAGUCAAAUGUGAAAUCCCCGAGCUUAACUUGGGAAUUGCAUUCGAUACUGGUUAGCUAGAGUGUGGGAGAGGAUGGUAGAAUUCCAGGUGUAGCGGUGAAAUGCGUAGAGAUCUGGAGGAAUACCGAUGGCGAAGGCAGCCAUCUGGCCUAACACUGACGCUGAGGUGCGAAAGCAUGGGGAGCAAACAGGAUUAGAAACCCCGGUAGUCC
rnacentral:rRNA from 1 species